rnacentral:tRNA from 1 species
GGCUCGGUAGCAUAGUUGGUAAAUCAUUUGUCUAGCGAGCGUGAGUUCAAAUCUCACCUGAGCUG